UACGGAGGGAGCUAGCGUUGUUCGGAAUUACUGGGCGUAAAGCGCACGUAGGCGGCUUUGUAAGUUAGAGGUGAAAGCCCGGGGCUCAACCCCGGAAUUGCCUUUAAGACUGCAUCGCUUGAAUCCGGGAGAGGUGAGUGGAAUUCCGAGUGUAGAGGUGAAAUUCGUAGAUAUUCGGAAGAACACCAGUGGCGAAGGCGGCUCACUGGGACCGGUAUUGACGCCUGAGGGUGCGAAAGCGUGGGGAGCAAACAGG
rnacentral:rRNA from 1 species